GAACGCGAGGCGCCCUUUCGGGGGCGUAGUAGAGUGGCGCACGGGUGAGUAACACGUAGACAACCUGCCUUCGAGCCCGGGAUAACCUUUCGAAAGAAGGGCUAAUACCGGAUAACACUUGGGAUCGCAUGAUCCUGGGUUGAAAGGCUUGCUACUCGAAGAGGGGUCUGCGGGACAUUAGCUAGUUGGUGGGGUAACGGCCUACCAAGGCUCUGAUGUCUAGCGGGUCUGAGAGGAUGAUCCGCCACACUGGAACUGAGACACGGUCCAGACUCCUACGGGAGGCAGCAGUGGGGAAUUUUGCGCAAUGGGCGAAAGCCUGACGCAGCAACGCCGCGUGAGUGAAGAAGGCCUUUGGGUCGUAAAGCUCUUUUCCGGGGGACGAGGCUGACGGUACCUCGGGAAUAAGCACCGGCUAACUCCGUG
rnacentral:rRNA from 1 species